rnacentral:lncRNA from 10 species
GGAGGCUGAGGCAGGAGAAUCACUUGAACCCAGGAGGCAGAGGGCGUGGUGAGCCGAGAUCACGCCACUGCACUCCAGCCUGGGCAACAGAGUGAGAAUCUGUCAAGAAAGAAAGAAUGAAAGAGAGAGAGAGAGAGAAGGAGGGAAGGAAGGAAGGAAGGAAAGAAGGAAGGAAAGAGAGAGAAAGAAAGAGAGAAAGAGAAAGAAAGACAAAGGAAAAGAAAGAGAGAAAUGUAAUUCUGCCAAAAACUGGGAGAAUAGGAGCAGUGUAUAAGAAUAUAACUUAUUUCUUUGAACUCUUCUGCUACACUGGAAUCAACUUUCUGUACAAAUUUGCACCAGAAAUUCAAGAGCCUGAAUUACCAAUUAUUGGUCAGAGUGUGUCCUCUCUGAUUAGAUUCAGAUAACAUAUUCUAAAAUAUGCUUAUUGUAAAAAAAAAGCUGGUACAUUUAGAUAAGGUAUACAUGAGAUGUAGUUAUUUAAAUUAUUUGUAGGAAACUGAAGCAGAGAGUCAAAGGAUAGAGAAACUCACUUUUUGAAAUUAAUUCAGAUAGAAUUCUUGGAACUUGUUUAGCAGAAUUGGCUCUAAGUGAGAGAUGUCACAAAUUCCAUUGAUACAACAGGUAAUAUCAUUAAAUUUGAUUCAUAAACCUAAACUUGAGUGAGUUCAAGGGCAUCAGGGCUUAGUAACUGGCAAGCACAUCCACUUCACUGGUAAAGUCCCUUCUGAGAUGUUUAGCUUAGUUCAGAUACUACUGGAAAUGAAAACAGUUAAUAGGGGUCAGAUUAGCAGAUAGUGCACAAGAAACUAUACCCACAGAACUUCUCAUGUCUAAAGGGAAAAAAGAAAGCACUGCUCACAGAAAAAAAAAAGUAGCCAUUAUGUGUAAUUGGUUGAUAUUUAUUUAGUUAAGAGUUUUGUGCUCUCAAAAUAUAUUAUUUCAUAUACACAUUUACGGUGACCAUACAAUUUAUCAUCCAAACCUUGACACAUUUUGCCCAGGACAAAUGCUAAACCAAAGAGAACUCCUGGACAACGGGCGUACAUUGGGAAUGUAAUGGACAAACUUUAACAUAUACACACUAUGAUUUGUAUAUACAAUAAAAAAUAAAAAUAGAAAAUUAUUUAAAUUCAUAUAAUAAAUCCAUGAAGCAAUCAAAAUAAUCAUAGCUAACAUUUUGAUGUUUACUAUAUCCCAAAAGUUCAUUUAAUCUUGGCAUUAAUCUUAUCAAGUAAGGAGCUAUUACUAUUUCCAUUUUACAAAUUGGUAAAUUAUGACCCAGAGAGGCUAAGAAAUGUUGCUAGAGUCACAAAGCUACAUAAUGUAGAAUGAAAAUUUGAAUCCACACAGCCUGGAUACAGAGCUCAUAUUCUAAAUGAAAACAUAUGCUAAAAGGGAAUUAAUUAAAUUAAAUAACUGAAUGUUAAGUAUAAUAAUAUAUUCAAUCACAUAUAAGAACUAGAUAAUAAGAAUUUAAAAUUUAAAUAUAUACUCAUUUUUAAAGAUAAUGACUAUAUUAUAGUCCCAUUACAAAUGUGGCAAGUCUUACCCUAAAAAUAAGACACUCUAACUAUAGACCACCCACCCAAACCAGAUUCUUGAGCCCUACCGAAGCCUUAACUAAGGAUUUCACUUGAUUCUUAUAAUUAGUGUUUGAGAAUGUUUCCUAAAAAAUAGGAAACAAGAGUAAAUUGGUGGUGUUGCAUUUAUGCUGUUGUUAUGAUUUUGUUUUUGUUUUUAUAAGAACAUAGAACUUACAAUAACUAAGCACAAGCACUGACUUAGGAUGACUAUCUUUAAGUACUCAAAAACAACUACACUAGUUUAAUCUCCGUUGAUUAAAAAUAUUAACUUCUACCCACCAGCUCACUAGAUGAGGUUUUCUUAUAAAAACAAUAAUUAUGAACAAUAUGUAAUUUGGUACAGCAUUGUUACAAAAUAACCACCACUGACAACAUAGAAGAAAUUAUUUUGAUUAUAUUAUCUGUAUUUAAAAAACCGAAGUUGUAGUAGAAAUGAUUUUCUUUAACUGCAUCUAGGAAAGUCAAAAAUAUGAGUUCUAUUAUCACUCAAUAUUAUUCAUGAGAUUUUUUAUUUUAAAAUAUUUUAAAAUACAUUUUUCAUUCAAUUAAUUUAAAAUUAUCACAGCUAAGCACACUAAAACAUAAUGUCCUUAUUCUUUUAAAAAUAUUUGCUUAUACUUACCAGGCAUUAUUCUAGGCAUGAGUUACAAGUCAGACAGCAAAAUAUUACAAGGAAACAAAAAAAAUACUUUUCUCCUAGACUUUACUGUUUAGCAAGUCUUGUGCUUCCUUGGCCUUAAAGUAUUUGACCAUUUUUCAACAAACUUUCAGACAUGCGAAGAAAUAGUGUACCAAUAAAAUAAAAUGCCUGCUCUUAUCUAAGCACUAACCAGGUCAUACCCUUCUUAGUUUCUGUCUUAGUCUGCUUGUGCUGCUGUAACAGAAUACCUUAGACUGGAUGAUUUAUAAUUAAUAGAAAUUUAUUUCUCAUACUUCUGGGGCCUGGGAAGUCCAAGGUCAAGGAACUUUCAGAUUCCAUGUCUGUAAGGGCUUUCUCUCUGCUUCCAAGAGGGCACCUCAUUGCUGCAUCCUUACGUGGUAGCUGUGUCCUCACAUGGCAGAAGAGCAAAAAGAAACAAACUUGCACCCUCAAUUUCUUUUAUAAUCCCACCCAUGACAGCAGAGUCCUAGUGGCCUAACUACCUCCCAAGGGCCCUGCCUCUUAAUACCAUCAUCUUGAGGUUUAAGUUACAAUAUAUGAUUUUUGGAGGGACAUAUACAUUCAAACUGUAGAAGCUUCCAAAAUCAGAGAAGAUUGAGCACAUCCAAGAUGAUAUGUUGGCAAGGAUGUGAAGAAAUAGGAACGCUUGUACACUACUUGGCAGGAAUAAAAAAUGGUGCAGCUGUAUCAAAAAAAUAUGAAGAUUCCUCAGAACAUUAAAAUUAGAACUACCAUAUUAUACAGCAAUUCAACUUCUGGGAUAUAUCCGAAGGAAUUGAAAUCAGGAUCUUGGAGCAACAACUGCACCCCAUGUUCAAUGCAGCACUAUUCACAAUAACAAAAAUAUGGAAACAACCCAAAUGUCUAACAUCAAUAGAUAAAUAAAGAAAAUAUGGUAUAUUCAUAAAAUGGAAUAUUAUUCAGCCUUUAAAAAAAGAAAUUCUACCAUUUGAAACAAUAUGGAUAAACCUUUAGGACAUUAUGAGAAAUAAAAUAAACCAGUCACAGAAUGACAAAUAGUUCAUGAUUCCACUUAUAUGAGGUAUCUAAUAUACUCAAACCCAUAGAG